rnacentral:pre_miRNA from 1 species
GAUGUACUCCCUCUGUCCUAAAAUUCUUGUCUUAGAUUUGUAUAGAAAUAGAUGUAUCAAAAUACUAAAUGUGACUAUAUACAUUCAUAUCUAUACAAAUCUAAGAUAAGAAUUUUAUGACGGAGGGAGUAUUUG